CCUAAUCCCAACCUCUCACUCCCUCGUGUUAGCCCCAGUUGUGCCGAAAAUGUUGAGUGAGGAGUUAGUCCUCAGGUUCCAUCUCCCUUUCCACUAAUAUGUAUCAGCCUCGGGGAUAGGGUUGCUGUGCGGACUACAAGCCCCGAGACCAACCCACUUCUUGGGCUCUUAGGAACAGUGGGGGCCUCGUGCUUUCAGUUUGGUCCUGUGCUCCCUCCAGCCGUGGUUUUUGUUGUUGUUGUUUUGGGGGUUUUUGUUUUUGGGUUUUUUGGGUUGUUGUUUUGUUUUUGAUAUAUAUCUUUCUGGAAUGCUCAAAGCGGCUGUGAUCUGCUUAUCAUAUGAAGACACAAUUGCCAGAUUCUCUUCACCUCUAUGAGCUUUGGUUUUUCCAUUUGCAAAAAUGGAAAACAUAAAUUCUACCUCUUGCCGGGCGGUGGUGGCACACGCCUUUAAUCCCAGCACUUGGGAAGCAGAGGCAGGCAGAUUUAUGAGUUCGAGGCCAGCCUGGUCUACAAAGUGUGUAGCCCAGGACAGCCAGGGCUACACAGAGAAACCCUGUCUCGAAAAAAACAAAUAAAAAUAAAAAUAAAUCUACCUCUUGCAAGACCCUGCACCCUGGUUCUGCCAUGGUUUCUCAGACUCCUGGGAAAUCUCCCUUCCCUUUUUCCACAGGGCCAUUCAUGGGGAUGUGGGCUUACUGUGUUGGCCCAGAAUGGGCCCCAGCUCUAAGGGUGAGGCGUUGCUGUAGUAUCUAGAUGCUCAUGGAUGGACUCUCAAAGGGCUGUUUCAAAACCCGAGUAACUCGCUGCCUCCAAGGGCUGUGUUUGUGCCUCUGGGAGUUUCUCUCCGAGAGGCUGCAGAAUCCUGGGAGUCUCUGCUGGAGCUCAGGAGAAACCCUCCAGCUGCGGAAGGCGCGGAGGUGACCAGCCUGAAAGAAUGAAACACGCCCACAAAUGGAAGGAGAGCCUCACGUCGCUCUCAAAAGAACACGAAGCCGGGCUGGAGGCGCACACCUGUAGACUCUGCCUCAGGGCGGCUGCAGCAAGAGGAUCCCAGGUUAAGGCCAGCCUGGAAUGCAUAUCGAGUUCCUGUUGCCCGAUGCGUUAGUUAGUUAGUUAGAGCAUUCAUUUAAAUCAGCUGAAUAGGAUAGAUAUGUAGCCAUAUCUUGGGAAUUAUCUGGGCAUUCAAUGAAACAUACAAAGGACACAUCGGUUCGUGUUUGUGAAAAAAAAAAUUAUGAACGGAUGAGGUGUGUUUUAACGUCACCUUUUCAUGUUCUAAAGAAAAUGGAAGAAUUUUAACGUUUUUUUUCUUGAUGUUUUUGUGAUUUUUUUCUUGUGUUUUUCUAGACUGUACCAAGCGAAUUGUCUAUCUAUGACCUUUUAAUUACAAAUUAAACUCAAAAGUUGGUUGUUUAAAAAAAA
rnacentral:lncRNA from 1 species